rnacentral:rRNA from 1 species
GACAGAGGCCUCGAGCGUUAGGCGGAAUCACUGGGCUUAAAGCGUGUGUAGGCGGGCGCCUAAGUGUCUUGUGAAAUCCCACGGCUCAACCGUGGAACCGCUGGGCAUACUGGGCGUCUUGGGCCAACUAGGGGCAGCCGGAACAAGCGGUGGAGCGGUGAAAUGCGUAGAUAUCGCUUGGAACGCCGAAGGUGAAAACAGGCUGCUGGGGUUGCGCCGACGCUGAGACACGAAAGCCAGGGGAGCAAACGGG